GGGGAAUCCAACUGUUUAAUUAAAACAAAGCAUCGCGAAGGCUGCAGGUCGGUGUUGAUGCGAUGUGAUUUCUGCCCAGUGCUCUGAAUGUUAAAGGGAAGAAAUUCAAUGAAGCGCAGGUAAACAGCGGGAGUAACUAUGACUCAUCUGGGGGAAUGUGACUACAGUGUUUUUAAGGUUGUUGGUCUCCGACCGGUGCCGUAGUCACCUUUGUGAUCGUUUGUACGUAUUUUAUUGAUUACAAAGUAAGGUCGAACCUCCUUGUGGUUCCCCCCGGUAACGGCCUAUAAGAGGAAGCUUUUGACAGGGAGGCAAUUUUAAAUUGUCUAGAGGUUGUUUUAGUCUGGUUUUAUCAGUGGUUUUACCAUCGAUUUUAUCCUUGGUUUUACCUUGGUUUUACCGGUACUAUACGCCACUGGCAGUUUUAUUGUUUCUCUCUGUCGUUUGAGCAGUACUCGGACCAGGCCGGCGAAUACGACCUCAGAAAAGAUACGAGAUGGCUGGUGACCAUUCGGUCUAAAUUAGAAUCAAAAUUUGGCAGCGGCGAUUAUGGCCAAUACCAAAACUUCCGGUUGGGUGGGAGACCGGGAAAAUAACCGCCCCGGCCCCGCACGGUUGCUAUUGGCGGCACCAUGCGCAAAAUGUGUAAGCCAAAAAUGGACUGGACAAUCCGUCUCGACGCAGAUGGAAGAUACUAUAAGGAUUAUUCCGGCAAGGCUGUCCUCAGGCAGGCACGAGGAAGUCUUUAAUAUCGUCCAGAAUGAUCAGGACGCAAUUCGAAGAGAACGACUAGUAGAGAAGGCCCCUCUGCAGUCGGAUUCAUUUAACAGCCGGACAAUUUUUAAUUCGAAUUUUAAUGUGCCAUUUGAUUUUAGUCGAUACGGACAAUCAGAAAGAGGCGAGGAGAGGUAUGAAGGUAGGAUUAUCCACCCAAUAAUUAGGGAAACUGAUAAAAUAGAGGUAAUAAUUAAAUACCUGGUAGAUAAUUUUAAUUGUAAUUAUUGUAAUAAGAUUUAUAAUACUACGGGGAGGUUUAGGAAGCAUUUAAAGAUAUGUAAGGGAAUUAAAUCAGUUAGAGUUAGAUGUAGUAAAUGUGAGUGGGAAGGGAAUUACCAAGCUGUAACAUGCCACUAUCCUAAAUGUUCUAAGAAUGACAAUAAUGGUAAUAGUAAUAGUAAUAAUAAUAAGGAAGGAGAGGCAGAGAAACUAUACCAAUGCGAAUUAUGUCCUUUAAAAUUUAAGACAGCCAGAGGAUUGUGGCAACAUGAAAGGCAUGCUCAUCCCAUUUUAAGAAAUGAGAAGAGGAAAAGAGGAAAGGUAGAGAGUAGGAAUAAGAUGGAAAAUAAGGAGCGUGUAAGAGGGGAAUAUGGUCUUAUGAAGAGGUGGAAAUGUUACAACAACUAGAAGCAGAAUUUAGUGGCUGUAAAAAUAUUAAUAAAGUUAUAGCUGAGAAAUUAGGUUCUAAAACGGCAAAACAAAUCUCGGAUAAAAGGAGGUUAUUAAAUAAGAAAGGUAAAAGUCGCGAUGACGAUAAAGGUAUCGUUCAAGAAGUAGUUCUUAAUAUGAGUGAUAGUAAUGAAAUGGAUAAUAGUGAUCGGGAGAUAGAUAGGGAAGUAGAGGAAGAAAGAUUAAAUGAAAAGAGUGAUCAAGAGAGUAAUAGUAUUAUGGAUAAAGUAGACUAUAAGAGUAAGUCACUAACAGAACUAAUUAAAAUAGUAGAGGAUGAUAUGGGAAGGAAUAAAGGUAUUAGUAAGGAAUUUUAGAACAUAAUGGGUAUGAUAAUGGAUAAAUUGGGAAUGAGCAAGGAAGGUGAUAAAUAUAAGAAGGAGACUCAUAUUAAACAAAUAGGUUUGAAGCAAAGGGAUAGUGGACCAAGAAUGAAGAGGAAGGAAAAUAAGGCUAAGAGAAGGUACAGUAAAAAGAAAGGUAAAUUUAAAGAAAUGCAGGUCUUAUAUAAAACGAAGAGACAAUACCUGGCAAGAACCCUAAUGGGGGCUCCAGUUAGGUGUGAAUGCCCCCUAAGUAAAGAAGAAUUAGAAGACUAAUAUGAAGAAAGAUUAACUAACUCUAAUGAUAAAAAUAACUUGAGAGGUUUUGCCAAAUAUAAAAGGCAAGGGGAGGGAUCGGUGAGUGGGACUCUGACAGGUCCUGUGACAGUAGAGGACGUGAAUCUAGCCAUUAAGGCGAUGGACGUAAAGACUGCUGCAGGGCCAGAUAGGGUAAGACUGAAGGAGAUAGUGAAGAUAGUUAAUAAAGACAAUACAGUGCUUCCUAGAAUAUAUACUAUUUGGAUGGAAUCAGGUAAAAUACCGGAUCAAAUGAAAAUAAGCAGAACUGUAUUGAUUCCCAAAGUGAGUGAUGAAGAGUUGAAGGAUAUUAAUAAUUGGAGGCCAAUUAUGCUUAAGAUAUUUACUAAAAUCAUAGCCAAUAGACUAAGUAAAGUAAUAAAUCUGAAUAAAAGACAAAAGGGCUUUAUGGCCGGUGUAGCAGGUUGCGAGGA